rnacentral:rRNA from 1 species
UGGGGAAUAUUGCACAAUGGGCGCAAGCCUGAUGCAGCGACGCCGCGUGGGGGAUGAAGGCCUUCGGGUUGUAAACUCCUUUCGCUAGGGACGAAGCGUAAGUGACGGUACCUGGAGAAGAAGCACCGGCUAACUACGUGCCAGCAGCCGCGGUAAUACGUAGGGUGCGAGCGUUGUCCGGAAUUACUGGGCGUAAAGAGCUCGUAGGUGGUUUGUCGCGUCGUUUGUGUAAGUCCACAGCUUAACUGUGGGACUGCAGGCGAUACGGGCAUAACUUGAGUGCUGUAGGGGAGACUGGAAUUCCUGGUGUAGCGGUGAAAUGCGCAGAUAUCAGGAGGAACACCGAUGGCGAAGGCAGGUCUCUGGGCAGUAACUGACGCUGAGGAGCGAAAGCAUGGGUAGCGAACAGG